rnacentral:rRNA from 1 species
UGUAUAAUGGGUCAGCGACUUAUAUUCUGUAGCAAGGUUAACCGAAUAGGGGAGCCGAAGGGAAACCGAGUCUUAACUGGGCGUUAAGUUGCAGGGUAUAGACCCGAAACCCGGUGAUCUAGCCAUGGGCAGGUUGAAGGUUGGGUAACACUAACUGGAGGACCGAACCGACUAAUGUUGAAAAAUUAGCGGAUGACUUGUGGCUGGGGGUGAAAGGCCAAUCAAACCGGGAGAUAGCUGGUUCUCCCCGAAAGCUAUUUAGGUAGCGCCUCGUGAAUUCAUCUCCGGGGGUAGAGCACUGUUUCGGCAAGGGGGUCAUCCCGACUUACCAACCCGAUGCAAACUGCGAAUACCGGAGAAUGUUAUCACGGGAGACACACGGCGGGUGCUAACGUCCGUCGUGAAGAGGGAAACAACCCAGACCGCCAGCUAAGGUCCCAAAGUCAUGGUUAAGUGGGAAACGAUGUGGGAAGGCCCAGACAGCCAGGAUGUUGGCUUAGAAGCAGCCAUCAUUUAAAGAAAGCGUAAUAGCUCACUGGUCGAGUCGGCCUGCGCGGAAGAUGUAACGGGGCUAAACCAUGCACCGAAGCUGCGGCAGCGACGCUUAUGCGUUGUUGGGUAGGGGAGCGUUCUGUAAGCCUGCGAAGGUGUGCUGUGAGGCAUGCUGGAGGUAUCAGAAGUGCGAAUGCUGACAUAAGUAACGAUAAAGCGGGUGAAAAGCCCGCUCGCCGGAAGACCAAGGGUUCCUGUCCAACGUUAAUCGGGGCAGGGUGAGUCGACCCCUAAGGCGAGGCCGAAAGGCGUAGUCGAUGGGAAACAGGUUAAU